AGUUAAGUUUCCCACAGGUUUUGACGUCAUCUUUUCUGUUGCCCUCGGAGUCAACUGAUUUCUGCUUAUAGAGUUCUGGUUUUAUCCUCCCGAUACUGGUUCUUGUUUCUCCUCUUUGUAAGACAGGUUCAGUGCCCAUGCUAAAGUCGACACUGGAGACGUUCAUUUGCCUUGACUUUUGGAGACCCAUACAAGUGCUCUGGAAGAAGUGCAGGGCCUUAAAGGACUACAACUGGACCUUGGUUGUCUUACAUAGAGGCUAACGGCAUAAGUCACCUAGUGUACGGAUGUCCUCUACACUUUACUGCUGGAUAGAAACCUGUCCCAGGCUUCUCGUGUGAUUGUUGGUACUUUCUUUAUAUUCCUUAUUCCACUGUGUAUUCCAUUGUUCUUGUCUGCCUUUACCACAUUAUACAGUUCAUAAAUAAAUGCCACGUCACUGAGUUGUCAACUAAGCA